UACGUAGGGGGCUAGCGUUGUCCGGAAUCAUUGGGCGUAAAGAGCGUGUAGGCGGCCAGGUAGGUCUGCUGUGAAAACUCGGAGGCUCCAACCUCGAGACGUCGGCGGAAACCAUCGUGGCUAGAGUCCGGAAGAGGAGAGUGGAAUUCCUGGUGUAGCGGUGAAAUGCGCAGAUAUCAGGAAGAACACCCGUGGCGGAAGGCGGCGUCUCUGGGACGGUAC
rnacentral:rRNA from 1 species